rnacentral:rRNA from 1 species
UACAGAGGGGGCAAGCGUUGUUCGGAAUUACUGGGCGUAAAGGGCGCGUAGGCGGCCUUCUAAGUCGAACGUGAAAUCCCCGGGCUCAACCCGGGAACUGCGUCCGAUACUGGAAGGCUUGAAUCCGGGAGAGGGAUGCGGAAUUCCAGGUGUAGCGGUGAAAUGCGUAGAUAUCGGGAGGAACACCAGUGGCGAAGGCGGGCAUCUGGGCCAACACUGACGCUGAGGCGCGAAAGCUAGGGGAGCAAACAGG